UAAAACGCGUACGUGUUCUCGCGAGGUUUAGGUUUUCAUGGGCGUGCAGGAAGUUUGAUGUGGCAAAGAUAGAGCGAUCAGUAUGUCUGCCAUUUUCAAUUUUCAAAGCCUACUGACGGUCAUUCUGCUGCUGAUAUGCACCUGUGCUUAUAUUCGUGCCCUGGCUCCAAGCAUUCUUGACAAAAACAAAACUGGGCUUUUGGGCAUUUUUUGGAAAUGUGCAAGGAUAGGAGAACGAAAAAGCCCCUAUGUUGCAGCAUGUUGUGUGAUUAUGGCGUUCAGUAUUUUGUUUGCACAGUAGCCUGUUGUCCACAUUUUAUGAAGAACAGAAAAAAAAAUUAGAUGCAAUAUGCAAUAUUCUCAGUUGGUGCAUUUUUAUAAAUUAUUGGAAGCAGUUUGCUAGCCUUAAAAAUGUUUCACGUAAUAAAUAUGCCACAUUUCUAAAGUGGACCAGUGAACGUUCCAUGACAAUAUGUAAUCUUUGCUUCUGACUUAACAUUGACUUGUAAAUAAUCUAUGUAUUUGGCUUCAUUACUUUUAUUACUGGCAUAUUCAUUAAAUUUCUGUGGGGACACAAUUAUAAUAAAUAUUUAUGCAUUUUUAAUCAGUGUUUCAUAUGAUUAUAUUUCACCAUGGCUAAAGUAAUGGGUUUCUAUAAGCAAGAUUUUUUUUAAAAAUCCAUUCAUAGAAACUGAGUUUGCAUUGGAAAGUAGUGUUUUAACCCUUAUCCAGUCUUUAAAGGCAAAGUGUCUUGUGUGUAUCUCAGUGUUUCUGUUAAUAAGAAAUGUAUCUUUUAAAAUGUUAAUAGUGCUACUGAAAUGAAAUUUAUUAAAAUGCCCAAAAUAAAUAUUUUGUGAUAUUAAAUAUAGCUGUAUUAAUAGUA